rnacentral:rRNA from 1 species
GACGAACGCUGGCGGCGCGCCUAACACAUGCAAGUCGAGCGAGAACCAGGACUUCGGUCCUGGGGACAGCGGCGAACGGGUGAGUAACACGUGGAUAACCUGCCCUCGGCACCGGAAUAGCCCGGGGAAACUCGGAUUAAUGCCGGAUAGCCCCACAUCCCUGCGGGGAACGUGGGAAAAGGUAGCUUCGGCCUCUGGCCGGGGAUGGGUCCGCGGUGGAUUAGCUUGUUGGCGGGGUAAUGGCCCACCAAGGCGACGAUCCAUAGCUGGUCUGAGAGGACGAUCAGCCACACGGGGACUGGGACACGGCCCAGACUCCUACGGGAGGCAGCAGUGGGGAAUCUUGCGCAAUGGGCGAAAGCCUGACGCAGCGACGCCGCGUGCGGGAAGAAGGCCUUCGGGUUGUAAACCGCUUUCAGGGGGGACGAAGCCACUCGGGUGAAUAGCCCAGAGGGUGACGGUACCUCCAGAAGAAGCCCCGGCUAACUACGUGCCAGCCGCCGCAGUAA